GUUAUUGUGGUUUAGUGGUUAUCACAUUAGUCUUACACACUAAAGGUCCCUAGUUCAAACCUAGGCAAUAACA